GCCCGCGGCUGGCACACGCGGGCUCCCCCGCGCACCCUCUCCGGGGCCGACCAGCUCGGGCCGCUGGCACAGUCACGCGCGUCCACACAUCACCCCCGCACCCACACGCCCGGCAGGUCCUCGCUUCUUCGCCCCGCGCCGCGCCGCGCAGCCAAGCAUCGUCUGCCCUGUGGGUGCGCAGUUGGAUCUGCCUCCUGGGGAAGUAAGAGCCCGGAUGCCCUUCCAGGUGACCUUCGUUUGGAGAUUGGGUGUGCUCCAGCUCCUGGACUUUUUAAAAUUCCUGGAAUUGUGUCUGUCUAUCAUGGGGCUGGUACUAUUACCAUACAUUUCAGAAAACAGCAUCUGUUUACGAAGUGUUUUAUUAUACAACACAGAAAUACAUUUCACCCCAAAUGAUAGCAGUGAACUUCAGCCCCCAGAAUCUCCUUCUCCCCUUUGUGAAACAGAGCUGGGAUGACGGCAGAGGACUCCAGAACGCACUGAGAUUGUUCCUUGUCGUGACAAAUGGCAAAGGACUCUAGAACGCACUGAGAUUGUUCCUUGGUGUGAUGGGCCAGAGAGCACACGUUUCUUCAAGCCAUUCUCACAUCAAAUAAAACGUUGAUAAAUCAUUGUUUCUCUAAGCUUGAAAAAUGCUAAUAACUCAAGACAAGAUGAAAGUGAGUUUGUUGAAAUCAACGUGAAGGAUCGAGGGUACCAACUUGGAAUGUAAAACCAUAGAAAAUACCAUCUGGGAACACGGAAAUCAUCUCUCUUAUCUGGAAGCCUGUCUCCAGAGUGGCAAACUUAGGGACUGGUUUGAGGACAGAGUGUGCCCUGUGUGCUGGGGAGGGGUGUAAAGGACUGGGAUGGAGGCGGGGCUCAAGAUGUUCUUUUACCCAUAAAUACACUGUACAUCACUGUCUGCCGCUGAAGCUUAAGGAUUGAUAACCUUGGGGAUGUUUCACUCUGGUUUUGCUUCCACCUCUGCAAUGUUUGAACUUGCAUUUUCUGAGCCGUGUAUGCAACUAAAAGCCUUAAAUGCAUUACCCACCCUUCACCUCUCUUACUAGUCCUAUUUACAGAUGAGAAAACAGGCACAAGGAGUUUUGCUGAUUCGGGAUUGUUACUGGUUUUAGGUUUUGUUUUCCUCCCGACAGCUCCUGGACUCUUUAAAAUUCCUGUAAUUGUGUCUCUCAAUCAUGGGCCAGGAAUAUGAGAAUCAGCUGUGAACUUCGAGCCUGUCCAUCUCAAAACUCCUCAUCUCCAAGACAUUUCAAUAAAGCUUUGCCAGUAAACAAAAAUAAAUAGGGUUCAGUUUACCCAGAAGCCAAAUCCCUUGUAAUAAGUUCUGGGCCAGGUUCUUCCCAGAGCAGAAGAAUGUACAGUUGUAGUUUGAGUUGAUUUUAUUUCUUUGAGGCUUUGUUUUUCUAGUCUUUCGGGCCUUACCUCACUCCCUCAGUAACAGCUGAAAUAUGAGAAGAGACCAUAUGGCCCCCAAAAAGUCCCCAGAUUAACCAAGAUUGAUGCCACCCAGGGCCCAGUUGGGGGUCAACGCCCUGUGUCAGGUGUGCUCUCUGUAUAAUUCGUUUCCUGUGAGAAGAGCAUUAAAGGCCCGUGAAUGUUUUAAAAUGAAAUGCAACCUCUUAAUAACCAGGUUUCUCCACUUUGCUAGGAUUCCAAAAACAAAAAUCAGCAACUGACAAAUGUUAAAAAUUUCUUCGCUGCUAAUCAUGCUUCCCCUCCUUCCCUUUCUUUCCCUCCCCUCUCUCUUCUAACAUGAAUUUAUUUUCUAUUUGAAAGCCAAUCUCACUGGUUAUUAGAUAUUCUCCCUGCUGUCACUAUCAGUAAAUUAUUAAACAGCUGACCAAGCUUUGUUUUAAAAUGAUUCUCUUAUGAAGCUCAGUGAUAUAUUUGCUAUGAAUACUGAAUGGUGCCGCGGUCUCUAAGGACACGUGAAUGAUUCCUAUUUACUACCUUUAGCAAAAUGUGUGUGCAAUUAGCGGCAAGAACUUGACUUGAAUCACAGUUACUAGGGAUGCCUGUAGCUCAUUUACAUGGAGCUCUCUUUACUCAUUACACUCCUGCCCGGGAGAAGCGUGUUAAGAUUCUAGGCCAGGUCACGAAAUAGCAUAUAGGCUUGUCUUUUGUCAUUCCUCACCUCCUUUCUUGUCUUGCCACUGCUGAGCCUUGACAUACCCGUGGGAAUCCUUUGUUUCAUGGAGCAGCGGGUUCUAAGUGAAUUUUUGCUUAAAGAAAAUAAACGUGAUUGAGAGAAAAUUA